rnacentral:rRNA from 1 species
GCAAAACGCGAAGAACCUUACCUACUCUUGACAUCCAGAGAACUUAGCAGAGAUGCUUUGGUGCCUUCGGGAACUCUGAGACAGGUGCUGCAUGGCUGUCGUCAGCUCGUGUUGUGAAAUGUUGGGUUAAGUCCCGCAACGAGCGCAACCCUUAUCCUUUGUUGCCAGCGGUCCGGCCGGGAACUCAAAGGAGACUGCCAGUGAUAAACUGGAGGAAGGUGGGGAUGACGUCAAGUCAUCAUGGCCCUUACGAGUAGGGCUACACACGUGCUACAAUGGCGCAUACAAAGAGAAGCGACCUCGCGAGAGCAAGCGGACCUCAUAAAGUGCGUCGUAGUCCGGAUUGGAGUCUGCAACUCGACUCCAUGAAGUCGGAAUCGCUAGUAAUCGUAGAUCAGAAUGCUACGGUGAAUACGUUCCCGGGUCUUGUACACACCG